AUCCAUGACUCCAUGGGAGCUGCCGCCCGUGGCUGACUCCCUUCCUAGGCAUGGAAGAGCAGUUCCUUGCUAAUUGGCAAAACUUUUAUCCCGCCUGUGGGUAUUAGUCGUUGACUGUGGCAAGUAACAGGC
rnacentral:snoRNA from 1 species